rnacentral:rRNA from 1 species
UACGGAGGGGGCGAGCGUUAUUCGGAAUUAUUGGGCGUAAAGGGCGCGUAGGCGGCCUUGUAAGUCAAAGGUGAAAUCCCUCGGCUCAACUGAGGAACUGCCUUUGAAACUGCAAGGCUUGAGGCCGGGAGGGGGUAGCGGAAUUCCCAAUGUAGCGGUGAAAUGCGUAGAUAUGGGGAGGAACACCGGUGGCGAAGGCGGCCACCUGGACGGUAACUGACGCUGAGACGCGAAAGCGUGGGUAGCAAACAGG